rnacentral:rRNA from 1 species
CGAACGCUGGCGGCGUGCUUAACACAUGCAAGUCGAACGUGAUUUUUGUGGAAAGCCCUUCGGGGACGGAAAUGAAAUGAAAGUGGCGAACGGGUGAGUAACACGUGAGCAACCUACCUUACACAGGGGGAUAGCCGUUGGAAACGACGAUUAAUACCGCAUGAGACCACAAAGCCACAUGGCUUAGGGGUAAAAGAUUUAUCGGUGUAAGAUGGGCUCGCGUCUGAUUAGCUAGUUGGAAGGGUAAAGGCCUACCAAGGCAACGAUCAGUAGCCGGUCUGAGAGGAUGAACGGCCACAUUGGAACUGAGACACGGUCCAAACUCCUACGGGAGGCAGCAGUGGGGAAUAUUGCACAAUGGGGGGAACCCUGAUGCAGCGACGCCGCGUGAGCGAAGAAGGUUUUCGAAUCGUAAAGCUCUGUCCUAUGAGAAGA